rnacentral:lncRNA from 1 species
CUGUCUCUCUUGAAUCACAGUAGGAAAACACAAGCGUGAAACCUCCAUUUGGGAAGCCUGCAGAAGCCCCAAUCCAAUCACAGCACUGCCAGAGGAUCUUAGAAGUCGAAUAUCAAUUUAAUAACACAUCCUGUUUGAGAUUGGGUUCUAACUAUAUUGCCCAAGCUAGAUUCAAACUCUUGGGCUCAGGUGAUCCUCCUGCCUAAGACUCCUUAGUAGCUUGGAACUUCAGAACCAUCUGUCAAUGGCUGCUUCAUACUUUAGAUGCUCCAAGAGGAAAAAGUCAUUUCAGAAUUGUAUCCAUAACCCAGUUUCAUUGAAGAUGGAGUUUUCCUUCAGAUUUUCUACAUAGACAAUUAUACAUCUGUGAACAAAAACAGUUUAUUUCUUCCCUCCCACACCCUGCCACACUUCCUCCUGCUCCAGCAAUGUAAAACGUGCCUGCUUCCCCUUCACCUUCCACGUGACUGCAAGUUACCUGAUGCCUCUUUCGCCAGCUUUCUGUACAGCCUGCAGAACCAUGAGUAAUCACACCCCUUUUCUUUACAAAUUACCCAGUCUCAGACAUUUCUUUAUAGCAAUGCAAGAAUGGACUAAUACAGUAUCUGUGUAAAAUGGAGAUGUUUCAUAAGAAAGAAUAAACUCCUUUUGGUAUAA